UCCCACUGCCGAUCCCCUUCCUCUCCUUCCCAACUCGACGCCAAUCCUUGCCGCCUUCCGACGCUGCGACGCUUCUUCUCCGUCGCACACCCCUCUUCUCAUGGAACACCAUCAUCCCUGCCAUAGCGCCGGCUGCCAUGAGACAACGGUCGACGCCUAUUCCACCAGGAAACCGAUGCACCAGCGCUGUGCAAUCCACCUUCAUCCAAGCCUCCAUUCUCACCCGCGUAUCAUUGGAGUUUAUCCAGCUAGUGCCUCAGCUAAUGGCCGACUAGGAGACCACACCAGUGGCGAAAGGGUGGAUGGAGCUGGGGUCGCAAGGGUUGGAGGUCUCUAGCCAAGGCCUCGGCAGAUGGCCGGUGAGUAGAUCUGAGCCCUAGCUUCUUCGCUCAUCGCUGCACUCGUGCGCUAUAGCUUCGACCACCACUGCCUGCGUUGUUGUCCGACCGUCGACCGAGACCUUCUCCCGAUCGAGCGAGACGUUAACCUGAUUUGGCGGAUCCUCUCUGUGCCAUCGCCGAUCUCCACGGCCACCGGCUCUAGUUGUGGCUUCGACUGGGAAGAAGGCCAGCUCUCGCCUGAUCCAGAGUCAUGCCCUAGCUUCCAUCGUAGCUGAUCUUCACUGAUUGCCACACUACUCUGCCUUAGGAUGACACCAUAGCAGUAUUUGGAUUUCUUCAGAGAGGAGUUUACAGAUCUAGUUAAGGGGUAAGUUUUAGCCAACACUAUUUACCGACGAUCCACAAUCCAGUCCAUCAUUUUUGGAAGCCACUUUCCUCAUCUAUGAGUCCACAAAGGAGGCAUCCUAUUAGGGUGAGUUGUUGGAAUUAGUUUAUAUUUAGCUUAAGCUGAGUUGAGUAUGGAAUGGUUAUGAAUAGUUGAGAUUAUUAUAGUUUGGGUUAAUUGAGUUAGAUGAAUUAAGUAGAAUUGUUUCAUGAUGCCUAGUGGAUUUAAGACAUGGAUUAAAUGAUGUAUUAAUUGAGGAUUAAUUGAUACAUGAUUGAUUAUAUUAAUUGGAUUGUUAGUUUAUAUCUUGAUGGAUAAUUGAAGCAUGUUAACAAGAAGGGUUAACUAAUUGAAUUGAAUUAAAUCAUAAGGGGAUUAGGUGU